rnacentral:misc_RNA from 1 species
UCCAGGUGGGGCUGGUGCGCGG